rnacentral:rRNA from 1 species
GACGAACGCUGGCGGCGUGCCUAAUACAUGCAAGUAGAACGCUGAAGAGAGGAGCUUGCUCUUCUUGGAUGAGUUGCGAACGGGUGAGUAACGCGUAGGUAACCUGCCUGGUAGCGGGGGAUAACUAUUGGAAACGAUAGCUAAUACCGCAUAAAAUUGAUUAUUGCAUGAUAAUUAAUUGAAAGAUGCAACUGCAUCACUACCAGAUGGACCUGCGCUGUAUUAGCUAGUUGGUGAGGUAACGGCUCACCAAGGCGACGAUACAUAGCCGACCUGAGAGGGUGAGCGGCCACACUGGGACUGAGACACGGCCCAGACUCCUACGGGAGGCAGCAGUAGGGAAUCUUCGGCAAUGGGGGGAGCCCUGACCGAGCAACGCCGCGUGAGUGAAGAAGGUUUUCGGAUCGUAAAGCUCUGUUGUAAGAGAAGAACGGGUGUGAGAGUGGAAAGUUCACACUGUGACGGUAUCUUACCAGAAAGGGACGGCUAACUACGUG